UACGGAGGGUGCAAGCAUUAAUCGGAAUUAUUGGGCGUAAAGGGCGCGUAGGCGGAUUUGUAAGUCAGAUGUGAAAUACCGAAACUUAAUUUCGGUGCUGCAUUUGAAACUGCAAGUCUUGAGGGUAGACGGAGAAAACGGAAUUCCACAUGUAGCGGUGAAAUGCGUGGAUAUGUGGAAGAACACCUGUGGCGAAAGCGGUUUUCUAGUUUAUUCCUGACGCUGAGGCGCGAGAGCAAGGGGAGCAAACAGG
rnacentral:rRNA from 1 species